UUUUAUUUAUUUUUCCCUUUUAUUCAAAACAAUUCCAAUCAUACUUAAUAUAUCAGGAAAUAUCUAAAUUCUCAAACGUGUAAGUAAAUGCAUUUUGCACCUUUAUAGAUUGUUAUUUGAUCAAUAAAUGGAAAGGUAGUGUAAUCUAUUAACUACACAUAAAACCCCGACUUUUUACUUAAGUGCCAUAUCAUGCCAUAAAAUAUUUUUAAUAAGACUGAAUUUGCAUUUAAUGUAAAUUUUAAUAACAAUAUUGUAAGUUACUUAUUUUAACACUUUCAUUUUACAGAGAGUAAAGAACAUUUACAUUAUCACAUAACAUUUUCAUUCAGUUUAGCUAGAGUUCAGGCACUCUCAAAAACUUCCAUUGCAAUCACUGAAGCACUUUACAUUACAUUAUGCACAUCAGGAUUUCUUUUUUUUUCUCUCUCUCUCUCUCUCUCUGAAGAAAGAAUUUGCUAAAUAAUUCAGUCAGCGAGCAAGUGAACAAAAACACCGCGUUUCAUGAUGACUCUUCUGCACGUCUCCGAUUGGCCAUUGCAUUCGCGCAACAGAACCGUUGAUUGGUUAUCAUCAUUAUGAAGCGUUGUACGAACGUCUCUGGCUCAGCGCCAGCCAGCGAACACAGAUUUGAAUUUAGCAGUUCAAAAAAUAUUAUUCUGCUGUUUUUUUUUUUUUUUUUGGUCGUUUGGAAGCUGCAUUUAAAAUCAACUUGGCUCAGAAAUCUUUGAAUGGGCAUGACGCCUCUGCCCCUCGAUGCCUGUGAAAGUUUCUCCCUCAAACAGCACGCUAACGUUACUCUACACUACAGGCUACACACCGCAAUAUAAACAACAUAUCUGCAUGUUCUCACAUCACGUCAUUCUUGUAAAAUAAUAAUAAGUAAAUAAAUAUCAAAAUCACUUCGCUGAGAAUGAAACACCACUUACCAGCUUCCGCGGUAAUGAAAAUAUCCUCUGACAAUUACAAAAUGCGCGUGCGGCGUGACGAAUCAUCCUGGUCGGAUGAGGAGGUCUUCGUCGUCAGGUCAAAGGUCAUCAUGUUGGUCAUCUUAUUGUCGGCUAAAUUAUUAUUCAAAAUUUGACUAAUAUUUAGAUUGGACAUGAGCAGGCAUUCACAAAAGGAAAAGGUAUGACAAAAAAAAAAAUUUUGCUUUGACAAAAGGGCACUUUGGGCACCAAAGGGCAAAGGGGCAGGUACUCAAGCGAAAAAAUCUAAUGCAAUUUGUAUUUAAAUACAUUUAAGAUGAAUAUUUUUGUAUUUUCAAAAUACUUUGAGACAGGCAACCACUUUAUCAGGGUGCUGUUUUCAUGCGUCAACUAGUUCAGACCAGACACGCCCCUCCCCCCCAACCCCAACAUUCAUGCACGUGAGCCACAGCUGUACAACCCAGCCUUGGAUCGGCAACUUUUCUGGAAUAAGGUCACCGUGGCCACCAGAUCCAGUCUGUAUCCAGAUCAGACUGUCACUGCAGUCACCCGGAUCCAGUACGUAUCCAGAGCAGAUGGUGGAUCAGCACCUAGAAAGGACCUCUACAUCGCUGAAAGACAGCGGAGACCAGGACAACUAGAUCCCCAGAUACAGAUCCCCUGUAAAGACAUUGUCUCAGAUGACCAUCAAGACAAGACCACAGGAAAAGGAUUAUUGUUCUGCACAAUCUGACUUUGCUGCAGCCUGGAAUUGAACUACUGGUUUCGUCUGGUCAGAGGAGAACUGGCCCCCAAACUGAGCCUGGUUUCUCCCAAGGUUUUUUUCUCCAUUCUGUCACUGAUGGAGUUUCGGUUCCUUGCCGCUGUCGCCUCUGGCUUGUGUCAGGGCGAGACAGAGGACCCAGAGGUGAAUGACCGGACUACAAACAGAGCCAUAGAAAACUAGAAUAAAGGCAGACUGCCGAGCACCGGCUCUUGAGGGUGAAUGCAGCUGGCAGAACAAAAAUGGUCCACAACGGGAGAACGGGUCCAGGGCUUGUCAGUGGGCUUACGGCGAGCAGGUGGCACAGAUCCACACCAACAAACUCAGCACCACAGAUGGCAAGUAACCAGACGAGCUCUGGCAGCAAGAGGACUGUACAGAGAACAGUUAAGACGAGCACAAAAAAGACUAAGACUGAGACAAAACUAACAAUAAGUAUGAGGAUAGCUUGGGAUGAGACGUUGAAUAACAUAUUAGCGUAUAAAAUAAUCUGGCAGAAAGCAGAGGGAACGGCAGAGGGAAAUAGCAGUGAGAAUUAGAGUAUAGAAGAGAAGGUGUGUAGAUGAUCAGUGCAAGUGCUGAUUGCAAUCGCGAACAGCUGAGCUAAAGUGGCAGUAAUGACAGGAGAGAGAGAGAGAGAAAGGAAAAAAACUCAAACCCGACUCAUGACAGAUAGAGGGAGAUGUAAAACUAAUUUAUUCACUCACAUCAUAUGUCUUUUUGUUUAACCCAUGUAAAAGUUUGUGAAACCUUUAGAAUUUUCAAUAUUUCUGCAUAGAUAUGACCCAAAACAUAUUUUUGCACAAGUACUAAAAAGUAGGAAAAGAGACCCCAAUCAAUCAAAUGGGACAAAAAUAUGUCAAACUCCAGAUAGUCCAAAAAUGCAACAGUUAGAGUUCUCAAUAGAACCAGGAAAUAGGACCAUAUUAGCCCUGUUCUGACCACACUACACUGGCUUCAUAUUAAACAUCAUAUAGGUUUAAAUAUCUUGCUUAUUACUUAUAAAGCCCUGAAUGGUUUAGCACCUCAGUACUUGAAUAAAUCCUUGUUACAUUAUAAUACCCCACGUCCGCUGUGUUCUCAAAACUCUGGCAAUUUGAUAAUACCUAGAAUAACAAAAUAAACUCUGGAAUAACCUACCUAACAUAGAUACACUCAGUUUAAAUC